GAACCUGCGGAAGGAUCAUUAUCGUAUUGAAAAGUGGGAGGGCAUGCGAGGGCUGUCGCUGACUCAAAGUCGUGCACGCCGGAGUGUGUCCUCUCACAUCAAAUCCAUCUCACCCUUUUGUGCACCAUCGCGUGGGUUCCCUUUGGGAUCGAACUGAUCCGGGAGGGGGCUUGCGUUUUCACACAAACCCCUUUGUAAAAGUGUAGAAGGACUUCAUUUUUUGCGAUGACACGCAAUCAAUAUACAACUUUCAACAACGGAUCUCUUGGCUCUCGCAUCGAUGAAGAACGCAGCGAAAUGCGAUACGUAAUGUGAAUUGCAGAAUUCAGUGAAUCAUCGAAUCUUUGAACGCACCUUGCGCCCCUUGGUAUUCCGAGGGGCACGCCCGUUUGAGUGUCGUGAAAACCUCAACCUUCUUGGUUUCUCCUGAACAUCGAAGAAGGCUUGGACUUUGGAGGCCUUUGCUGGAGUCUCUUUCAGAGGCCAGCUCCUCUCAAAUGAAUUAGCGGGGUCCUCUUUGCNGAUCCUUGGCGUGUGAUAAGACACUUCCACGUCUUGGCUUCUGGCUCUGUCACCUUUGGGACCUGCUUCUAACCGUCUCGACCGAGACGAUGUUUGAGCACGUCUCCCGUUUCGGGAAACCGGCUCAACCCCACGAACCCUUGACCUCAAAUCGGGUGAGACUACCCGCUGAACUUAAGCAUAUA
rnacentral:rRNA from 1 species